AUACGUAGGGGGCAAGCGUUAUCCGGAUUUACUGGGUGUAAAGGGAGCGUAGGCGGGAGUGCAAGUCAGAUGUGAAAUACAUGGGCUCAACCCAUGGGCUGCAUUUGAAACUGCAUUUCUUGAGGUACGUAGAGGUAAGCGGAAUUCCUGGUGUAGCGGUGAAAUGCGUAGAUAUCAGGAGGAACACCGGUGGCGAAGGCGGCUUACUGGACUUUUACUGACGCUGAGGCUCGAAAGCGUGGGGAGCAAACAGGAUUAGAUACCCUGGUAGUCCACGCUGUAAACGAUGAUUACUAGGUGUGGGGGGACUGACCCCUUCCGUGCCGCAGUUAACACAAUAAGUAAUCCACCUGGGGAGUACGGCCGCAAGGUUGAAACUCAAAUGAAUUGACGGGG
rnacentral:rRNA from 1 species